AUGAUAUUUCAGGCCCAAGUGUCUAAGGAGUCUAAGUCAGCUUUCCAGUAUGUACGUAUUGAUCCCAUCUCCUGGGUUUCCCCAGUUGCUCCAGCUGCUGGGGUGGCAGAUCCUCAGAGUGUAUUUUCCCACACAUACCUAACAGGUAUGAGCGGGGGAGCUGUAACCAGUUCACAUACACAGCUGGACGUUACAGUUCGAGAGGACGUUUACAGUUCCGGUCCACCGGAUACUCUGGGCCUGGGAGAAGCAGCUGUGACCGGCGGUCAUACCAACACCACGGGAUGGCCGGAGCCCCAGGGCGCCCUCCUUCGGACGGAAACGCCAGUCGCAGGGGAACCGCACAGCGCCGCGCCCCACACGGACGCUACGGACGCAGUCACCGCUGAUCCGAAGGGAGUCCGCGACGGCUUCAGUCACCUAGGCACCACACCACAGACACAAUCAGCUGUUCCCGCAGGGGAACAGUACAUCACUUCUGGUCAGGGUCCUGAAGGUGCAGAAAACGUGGAACUGGAGGAUACCUGCUGACUUCCACAUCAAGCCACGUGUCAAGAUCUUGCGUUUCAGAUUUCAGUGUAAGGACCAGUGGGCCUGGAGGAAGACCGAUGAGCCGGCCCGUUAAUAAUCGGAUCGGGCUGCCUGUUCGUCCGUUUUCACUAUUUAAGCACAAAAGAACGUCCCUUUCACAGCAUCUGCCGGGAAAUAUACUGCAGUUUUAUGUAAUAUCUUAAGACAAAAAAAAAAGAGGAAAAGUCUGGAUUGAUGUGCUAAACUGUAAAAAGCUGAAAACAAUUUGAAACUUACAGUGCCUGCAAGUACUGUAUUUUUAUAUAUUUAAGCAAUACUCAUUACCAGUGUGACAAUUUGUAAACUGCCAAAUGUCUAUCACUUGAAAGUAAUCUUUACAUUAAAGUUAUCACCCAUUUUGAACAUCAGCAUGUACAGCUACUGUUGAUGACCUCACAACGGAGUCUCCAUUCUGCUCCCGUUAUGCGCAUCAUGGUCAAUGCACCCAAAUAAUGUCAAGUUUCCAGUUUUUUAAUGCUUAAUGUUAUUCUCCAAAUAAUCUUUCUGUAACAAAAGAUGUUAGCUCAUGCUUGGUUGCUAACAUUCAUUUUCAAUACUUUUCCUGAAGUAAAAAACACAUUAUACCACCUUAAUUUGUUUUAACCAAUAAAUAGCAAACAGUUCUUUAUAAGCCCA
rnacentral:lncRNA from 1 species